CCAACUUCUGCGUGCAGGGAGACUAAGGACCUCUUUGGCCUCCAUUGCAGUCAGAAAGGAUGAUAGCAGUGACUGAUGGCUCUCAUGCUACAUAGGUGACUCACUUGUCAUUGCAUUGCAUAAGCAUAGCUAGGCAUGACACUAAACUUAACUUCAUUUGCUUGUUUCUGUGCCAGCCCAGAGAUUUCAGGGACUUUUUUGGGUGGUAAGAAGUGUGGAAUGCAAGACCAGUAACAGCCUUCGGUGGAUCAAUAAAUGAAGUCUGGAUCUUCCUGACCUCAGCUCAGUGCAACAGGCACCAAAGCUCCAAACACCUGCAGGGUCCCAUAAUGCUGCUAUUGCUACACUGCAGUAGCAUCCCAUGGUGAUCACUGAUGAGGACAACCUAUGUUCAUAUUGGAGAACCUACAGGAUCACAGUCCUGCAAAAUAUUCCAUUUUCUGUGCAAGACUGAAGAAUUUUAAGCGUCUGACCGUGUAUCAUUUGGGAUGAUUUCCUGGAAACAGAAAAGAGCUGGCGGAACACAUACCGCUGCCAUUACUUAAGGGAAGGCUCGGCACAGAAAUGCUCCGAGGACUGGGUGCUGCACUUCUUGCAAGCUUCCACGUGGGGGCACAGACGGUUCACUCUUGCGAACCUCUCCGACGGGCUGCAGGAGGAAGAAAACCUGAACCUUAACAAGAACAGAUGUUUCUGGCACCUCUCUAUGUGUGGGAUGUGUUGCACCUCCAGAGCAUGCUGUUCUGCCCAACACCUUGGUACCCAGAAGGAAUUACGACUUACAUUACAUGUAUGCCAAGCUUCAUUUUUUGACUGGUGAACUGAUGAAUGUAUCCUCUUUAUAGAGACACAGUAGUGCUUGAUGAAUGGGAAGGAAGUCCCUGGAUUUCUUCACUUUGCCCACCAUGAUGCACAAUAAAAAUUACACCUCUUGAACUUUCA
rnacentral:lncRNA from 1 species